rnacentral:misc_RNA from 1 species
CCGAGUUUACAACUCCCAAACCCCUGUGAACAUACCUUUAUGUUGCCUCGGCGGAUCAGCCCGCGCCCCGUAAAACGGGACGGCCCGCCGCAGGAAACCCUAAACUCUGUUUUUAGUGGAACUCCUGAGUAUAAAAAACAAAUAAAUCA